UUGACCUCAAAUCAGGUAGGACUACCCGCUGAACUUAAGCAUAUCAAUAAGCGGAGGAAAAGAAACUAACAAGGAUUCCCCUAGUAACUGCGAGUGAACCGGGAAAAGCUCAAAUUUUGAAUCUGGCAGUCCUUUGAGGCUGUCCGAAUUGUAAUCUAGAGAAGUGUCUUCCGCGCUGGACCGUGUAUAAGUUUCCUGGAAAGGAACGUCAUAGAGGGUGAAAAUCCCGUCUUUGACACGGACACCCAGGGCUAUGUGAUGCACUCUCGACGAGUCGAGUUGUUUGGGAAUGCAGCUCAAAU
rnacentral:rRNA from 1 species